CCUCCUCAUUCAGUUGAUUAAAAGCGAUCAGGGCUGCUCUGAUUUAUCAACUCAAUCCUUUACUCUAAGCAAUUGAGAAAGCUGGUGCUUCCAGCCAUCCAGCCCCAGCUUUAGAGAUCAAGCUUAGCUGUCUGUUUACCUCUUAGCCCAAAUGAACUCUUGUAGUAACAAUGCAGGUACCUUGGACUUUUCCUCGUGCGGCAGUGACUGGAGAUUGAUUCCUUUGUUUCUUGCCUCUGGUAUGACUGUGGUAGCUGGUUUUGUGACCACCCAGGAGUUCUGCGCAGGUCACCUUUGAUGUGAGCAAGGACGAAGUGCAGUUUUGACAGGCAGGAGCAUCACGGCAGAGCCCAGCAAUAGAUGCAUCUUCUCAAGAUCAGUUCAACUCAGCUCUGAACUGGUGCCUGACAAUCCCAAAUCAAAGGGCAUCCAGUGGAAGAUCAUGGUUAUGGAAGUUUGGGGAGAAGGAAACCACCAUUCAUCCAUGCAAUGAGAUAUCUUGUUACAAGUAUCUUACUCUAACUGGAAGGGAAGUCAAAACACUGGAGCAAGAGCCCACAGAACCUGUCAUCUCCAUCUCCAGCUGUAUAAGGACUCCAUAUGGACAAGGCUAGACACAACCUCCUUUAAUCGGUGCUGCUUUGUGCAGGGGUUGCCUGAUGCAUGAUCCCUGAGUCCCUCCCAGCCUGAAUUAUUCUGUGAUUUUGUCAUCAACACAGAGAACAAGGGAAAGGGGCCAGCAGCAUAGGCAAUUUUACACAUUCUUCAUAUUCUCUGUACUCCAGAGCCUAAGAAGACCAAACUGGAUUCCCAAACUUCCUACACUGAUAGCCUUUACCAAAGUACAGCUCUCUGGCUGAACAGUCCUGAGGUUGGUGUCACAGAGCCAAACUGUUCGCUCAGGUCUGCUCCAACCUCUCUGAUGUUUGUCUGGGUCAGUAUAGCCAAGACCACAAUUAAAAAUGAGGAUUUUUGCAGUUCAUUUAACUGGUAAAAAUUUCUGCUUGUCUUUUAAUCCCUGAAGUAGUUUUAA